UACGUAGGACCCAAGCGUUUAUCCGGAAUUACUGGGCGUAAAGAGUUGCGUAGGUGGCAAGUUAAGCGGGUAGUGAAAUUGUGUGGCUCAACCAUACACCCAUUACCUGAACUGGCUAGCUAGAGUGCGAUAGAGGUAACUGGAAUUACUAGUGUAGGAGUGAAAUCCGUAGAUAUUAGUAGGAACACCGAUGGCGUAGGCAGGUUACUGGAUCGCAACUGACACUGAGGCACGAAAGCGUGGGGAGCAAACGGGG
rnacentral:rRNA from 1 species